ACAAGAUGCAAGCAUGUAAAGGAGCAACGUGAAGACAUCGAAGUCAGUGAAGAAGUCCCAGAUGGGAGGGAUGAGGAGAUGCCUUAAUCUUGGGACAGAAAUCCUCUUGUAAAGCUGUGGAGAAAGACUCUUUUUCCAUAUAACGCAUGAAGGUAUGGGGAGAUGAAAAUGUUCAAAUUGUAGAUAUGGAGCAAAAGCCUCCAUGCUAAAGUAAGCAGAUGUUAAAGUAGCUGAAAUCUACGAGAAGUUUGAACAGAGAGAGAGAGAAGAGUGAAGACCCUGUGCUCCCAGGGAGAGAAGACCUCUGUUCCCAGAGAUGAUUUUAGAGAUAGAUAAAAUAAGAGCAUCAAGAAAACUGGAUGAAGAAUACAAAUUUGUCAUCCUUGAACCAAGAAUGACACAAGAACAGACGAGAGACUGAACUGCAAGAGGAAAAAAAGAAGCUUUAAUACAAAGGAUUCUCCAGUUUAUAUAGACGGAUACGAUACAUUCUGCUUGAUUGGCUAGUUAAAUAAAAACAUCUUUCUCACACACUGUCCUUGAGAAGAACAGAAAAAAAAAGUGGAAAAACAACACCUGCAGAUUGUUUUUACUAACAAGUUAUCACAUUCCUUCAACUCCCUAAAAUUCUCACAAGCCACUGUGAGAAAUGAUUGCCAUUUCUCUCUCACUGACCAGGCUGGCAUCCACAUAAAUUAAUUCUCACUGCUGCCAAAUUGAUAAAUCUUAUUUUCUA